rnacentral:misc_RNA from 1 species
GAUGAAGAACGUAGCGAAAUGCGAUAAGUAGUGUGAAUUGCAGAAUUCAGUGAAUCAUCGAAUCUUUGAACGCACAUUGCGCCCCUUGGUAUUCCAUGGGGCAUGCCUGUUCGAGCGUCAUUUGUACCUUCAAGCUUUGCUUGGUGUUGGGUGUUUGUCUCGCCUUUGCGUGUAGACUCGCCUUAAAAUAAUUGGCAGCCGGCGUAUUGAUUUCGGAGCGCAGUACAUCUCGCGCUUUGCACUCAUAACGACAGCGUCCAAAAGUACAUUUUACACUCUUGACCUCGGAUCAGGUAGGGAUACCCGCCGAACUUAAGCAUAUCAAUAAGCGGAGGA